rnacentral:rRNA from 1 species
AGUGAAUGCUGGCGGUAGGCCUAACACAUGCAAGUCGAACGGCAGCACAGUAAGAGCUUGCUCUUACGGGUGGCGAGUGGCGGACGGGUGAGGAAUACAUCGGAAUCUACUUUUUCGUGGGGGAUAACGUAGGGAAACUUACGCUAAUACCGCAUACGACCUACGGGUGAAAGCAGGGGAUCUUCGGACCUUGCGCGAUUGAAUGAGCCGAUGUCGGAUUAGCUAGUUGGCGGGGUAAAGGCCCACCAAGGCGACGAUCCGUAGCUGGUCUGAGAGGAUGAUCAGCCACACUGGAACUGAGACACGGUCCAGACUCCUACGGGAGGCAGCAGUGGGGAAUAUUGGACAAUGGGCUCAAUCCUGAUCCAGCCAUACCGCGUGGGUGAAGAAGGCCUUCGGGUUGUAAAGCCCUUUUGUUGGGAAAGAAAAGCAGCAGGUUAAUACCCCGCUGUUCUGACGGUACCCAAAGAAUAAGCACCGGCUAACUUCGUG